GUGAUUAACCAAGUGGGUGGCACUUCCUGUGAUCUCUUCACUCUGCUUGUUGCCCAAGCAAAGCAGAUCAAAGCCAAAUCAAACGUAUUCUGUGCUACGAACAGACCCCUAGCAGAGGUAGACAAGCGUGGCCACUCCACUGCUGGGUUAUACAAAAAAUCUAUCACCUUCUCUGAGGUCACUGAAAUUAUAACACCCUUGUAAUUUAACCUGUUUAUUUGUCAAGUAAACAGAUAAAUUAUACUACCAUAAAACGGAGAUGCAUCUAAAGAAAGUGGCAGCUCUCCAGGUAAAAAGAAUCAGCCAUCUGCUCUAAGAAAAUCUAAUAAAGCCCAGUGACAGAUCACUUCAGUUAUUGAGAGAAACUUGGAACAGUGGGGCAGAAAUCAGCCGUGUGAAACUGGAGGAGUCGCACAACAGACAGGUUGCACAUAAUCUGAAAGGCAGUUCAUCAUUUGCUUUGCCACCUGCAGAUUCAACGUGUACCUUAAGUCACAACUUUCAAAAUUGCUAUUAUUAUUAUUAAUCCUGGCUGAGACAUACAACUUUGAGAACGUCUUUAGUUCAUAAACCUUAAGUCACAACUUUCAAAAUUGUUAUCAUUAAUCCUGGCUGAGACUUACAACUCUGAGAACAUCUUCAGUUAUAAACCUUUGGGGUUUUGAGCAUUACUAGACAAAGGAGUAGAUAAGACAGACGGAGCAAAUGAGACCUAUUUUGUCUUUUGGAGUGAUUUUUCUGCUUAAUGAAUUUUCAGAUAGCCAAUUUGUCACGUUUGGAGCAAAGGUAUUUAAGAGUCUGGAGGUUAAUUAGAAAAACAACAGCUGACUUUACUGAAAGAGUUUAAUUCAACUAUAUGAACAGAGACAAACUGUUUUCAACCUAGAAGAUCUGUUUGGAGCUGGUUUGUGCUGGAAUGUCACCCACACAAAUCUUGCAAGAGAACAUUAAGUGACAAUACACUGAAAAUGAAGAAGCUCAUGUUGGAACAAAAUCUCUGUGGCUGAAAAAAAAAAAUCGCUUACAGGAGGAAACAUUUAAAUUCCAGUUUCUAAUUUAGCUAUUACCUAAUUAAAUAUAAAAGUAGCUUGAAGUAUUUUAACCUUUUUUGCAAACAUCCUCACACAAACCAAAUUUCUUGUCACCACAUUGGUUUUUUUCAUGCUUUUCUCUUUUGUUUAGCUCUUACCUCAGGCCCUGUUCCAGGACAGGGUGUUAAAUCUUUAAGCUGGCUCUGUGUUGUAAACCAACUGGCGAUUUAAGGUUAGGACUUUGUGUCCUAAAAAAAAUGUUAAUAUUUGUAUAAACAGUAGACUCAGGUCUCUACAGCCCCAGGGCACCUGUGCAAGUCCUUCCUUCCCCAGAGCCCAACCCAGUUUCCUUCUGUUGGCUGAAAUUAGCAAUGAUGAACACAUAAAUGAGCAAAUACCCACACCCCUCCAAAACAAAACAAAACAAAACAAAACAAAACAAAAUUUACUUAGGGCUGCAACUCCUCUUUAAAUAUCUUCCUCUCUAGCACUGUCAUUUUCUCUCCCUACAGUGAAUGUCUUAGACACGUGCAAUGGAAAACACCAUCUCUCACAAUGGAAGACGUUCAAAAUCUAGACUGGGAAAGAGGAAUUUUCUCCACAAUAUACACUUUAUACAGACAGCAAUGCAUACCCCUAGAGUCUGAUCUUUCUGCUAUUAGAAAAGUCAUGUCUCUUGCUACUGAAUCACUACAUAAACAGUGCCUGUGGCUCAAGGGGCACCCUCAGGCUCCCCACAUGCCAAACAAAGGAAGACUAAUUUUCUGCCUGUAGAAACAGGAGUGCUGGGGCAUAGAAUCCCUGGAUACUACAAUCCACUUAAACCUACACUGCAUUAAGGAGGAUUCUGCAUUAAGGAGGACUCUGCUAUUUAGGAGAGAAACAGAGUAAGGAGCAGGUAGGAUCCUGUACUCCUGGUGCUCACUAUCACUCAAGAAUGCUGCAGAGAAAUAAGAAAGAAUGGAAAUAGAACCAAAAAAAAAAAAAAAAAAGGGGGAGAGGGGAAAAUCCUGGAUCUGCUGAGGCCAAUGGUAAAGAGAUUUCUUGCUUACCUAUGUUACCUAUGUUUUCCUCUAAAGGAGCAACAUAAAUGCAGAGAUUUACUCUGCACAUAGAAAAAAAAA